rnacentral:lncRNA from 1 species
GAGAUAUUCCAUAUUUAUUCUGAAAAUAAAUAAUUAUUCUCUGAAAUUAUGUAUGAUUUAUGAAAUUAUGUUUUGAAAGAAUAGUGCUUUUGAAAUAUUAUGGUAUGUCGAUUUAUGCACAUGUUCAAUGAAAAAUUAUGAUAUAUUAUGGUAUAAAGUGUUUUGAUGCAGAUCGAAUUUAUGCUCUCAGCCUAACUAUGUUUCAG